CGCAGUUGACUUUCAAAAACCUAACCUAUUUCUGUGCGGAUUCUGACGUCUUUACAUGUAUUGUAAUUUAUAGUUGCAGCAGCCAACACUGGGCACGUUGCAAUUGCCCACAACAGCCAUUUAAUACUCGCUAUUUACAACAAAACAUAAAAUGAAAAUGAAAGCGGAUGAAGCAUGCUUGUCAUGCAAAGUGGUUUCCGUGAGUUGCUUACUUGCCAUUGGCGGGUACCUUUUCUACUUGGGCAAACACCAACCAAAAUCCAAACAUGUUUUGUACACACUAGGGACAGUUUCAGGAGGAUUGGGCAUUGGAGAAGUUUUUGACAAAUCACCCUUCAGACAAACUUAAAAUGAAAACAGCACAGAAAGUAUUAUGUAAAUUCAAAAUAAAUGUAUUUUUUUAGA